AACGCAUCUUGCGCUCUCUGGUAUUCCGGGGAGCAUGCCUGUUUGAGAAUCGUAAAGCAACACAUCACAGUUAAUUUUUUUUGACUGUGGAGUUGGGCCGAGAUUCCUUUUUCUCAAGAAGAAGGAUGGCCUGAAAUUCAGAAGGCCGGGAUCUGGGUAAAACCAGAUACCCCUCAGGACAGAAAAUUUUUCGCCCAAAGCAAUAAUAGUUAAUACGUUUCGACGUGUUAUCCCAUUUUGCCUUGGGUUUUCUGGCCCUAGAGAAAUUUUUUUGGCCUAACACUUUUAACUUUUUUGGGCCACGGUUUCGGCCGUAGAACAAAAAGGGAGUUAAGAGGAAUUAAGAGUAUUUCGAUGGGCCGAGCUGUUUCUUCUACAGCCGGUCGGCCCUGACCUCUUAGAUCUCAAAUCAGGCAAGAUUACCCGCUGAACUUAA
rnacentral:misc_RNA from 1 species